GCCCCCGCACCACCCCUCGCACGCUGUCCGCGCCCCACCCCGGCGCGACCGGAGGAGGCUGCGCGGUCGCUGAGGGCUGCGACUCCUGCCACCCUCACCUGGGACCACAACUUUCUUCCCCUUCGUCUGGGGACCGCGACCCCUACCCCUUCGCCCUGGACUUCCACCCCCACUCCGUCUUUGCCCGGGACCCCGGCCCCGCCCCCUCGCCCCGGGUCCCCGCCCUAUCUGGCGGUCCGCUUGGUGGGGUCGGGAGAGCCGCUCGAGCGCGCUCGCAAGAAGGGAGAAGGCGGUGUCGCCUGUCAGUGGAGCGGAUGCCCUGGGUUGCUGUCGACCAGCAACAGUCUCUGGAUUUGAAGGGAAAUGCUGAAGACUCAGGACGUCUUCCCAAACACGAGCAUGUGCCACCCAUCCCAACCCAUUCUUGGCGGGGGCGGGGGGAGAUUAGAGUAAAUUACGGUCACCUCCUGUAAGCUUGCUGCCUGACUUCCUGUAUCCCUGCUCCGGUUGGUUGUUGAUUAUAGACGUACGUACGAACUGGAAAGGCUUCUCUCUCUGGGACACUGUCCAGUUUUCUGCGUGCACCUGUGUUUCUUACCUGUUCCUUUCGAGGUAUCCAAAUGCCGACAGGACUGCGCUUCGGACUUAGACGUCUUGACUGGGAAGAUCAUAUAUUGCCAUCUGUGUUCGGCGCCUUCUGCUUUGGCCUACGUUGUCACAUACUCGCUCUGAGAAACUUGCAUGUUCAAAAUGCUAUUCACAGCAAUGUCUUUGAAGAUAAUCACGUAAGACUGAGGUUUCCUCUGAUGUUGAAAGCACAUACACGUUUCAGGGGGAAAGUCAUAUUGUAGAGUUCGCUUUCCCAGAAAACCUCUUGGGUGUAGUGUGACCCUUCUCAGCUGCCUCCAGUUUGAACCUCUCGGCCUGAGGUGUCUACCCUUGGCCCAGAGAAUAGUCCAGAGGCCCAGCGAUGUGGUCCACCUUUGAAAGACCGUGAAGUCUCCAAAGCUGACCAGACUGAGCAUCAAGAGAAGAACUUUGAAGUGAAACCCGGAAGCUCAACGGGAAGAAGGAGGGCAAAGGAAAUGAAAACCAGAGAUUUGAGAAGAAAGACCGGAAACUUGGCAGUGCCCUCUCCAAGCCAGGCCAGCAGUUUUAUUGCAGGCCGUCUGCGUUCCAGGCCUAUAAAAAUUCCUUUUGUCACUUGUAGUGAACUCUUGGCAAGUUGUGUGUGUGAUGCCACAGCUGUUAAACCCAGGGAAGGAGACGUAAAGGGGAAGAAAUUACUGCGAUUUUUGGCUCUAAUGCAAGAAUGGUUCAACAUACAAAGAUUCAUCCAUGCAGUAUCACACAUUAACCUGACGAAUGGUUCAACCCUGCUGGAUCAUCUCAGAUGACGCGGAAAAACGCCUUUGACAGCGUGCGGUCCCAUUUGAUGAUAGAAAUACUGCCUGCUCAGGUCCCAGGUCACAGCUGAGGGUGCUCUGAGGGCGCCUGCUCUGCACACAACCUGCACUCGAGACUCGGGACUGUGUACCUCUCUCCGGUGGACACACCAGCACCUCUGAAAAUUUACGUCUGCUUUUACGAUGGGCUGUAGACGAAACAGCAGGUCACCUGUGGGCUGAGCGCCACUUCCCCGAGGGGAUGGACGGGAGGGGGAGGGAAGUGCAUCCCCCCACCCCCGACUCUGUUCAAAGCUGCGGUCUCCAGGGAUGGAAGUACUGUCUGGAUCUCGAGUGGGUGCGAAAUGCUGUGACGUGUCGGUGCCUGGACCCUGCCCUUGCCUCAGAAUCAAGGUCCCAGUACCUCGUCUCCAGCCCCCCAUGGCUGCAGCAGGCCAUUGACCUGGGCGGCCCUGGAGACGCUUUGGGCUCAGAAUGUGAGCAGGGGGGCUGUGACGAGGCGGUGGUGCCGGGGCUCGAGUGUCUGGUUGAUUCGGGUCAUAUCCCAGGUAGGUGCGUUCGCGUGGUUCACUCAAGGAUGCAGCUUCCUGGAGACCCAGAGGCCCCCGCCUUUCGGGGGCGGGGGGGGGGGGGUCCGAGGCUUGGUCCCAUUGCCAGGGACCGCUCUGGAAACUGGACAUUCGACCCAAUCCAGGUGGCAGCACAAGAAGCCAUUCUGUCCCCAGCUCUUGCUGGAGAAAGGACAGCUUGCUGGACGCGGCCCUUGAGUCUUCAUUUCCCAGACUUGGGGAAGUGGCUUGACUCCCGGGGACAAGGCCCCUGCUGCUUUCCUUGUCUCGGUGCUGGAAGCGCGGGGCACAUGGAGAAGCAGAGCCUCCCCUUCGGCGUGCUCUGGGCUUUGGGCUGGAAGCUCGCAGGACGGAGAGAGGGUUUCCAGCAAUGACACUGUGUCCGGGUGGGUGCGGGUGGGCUGGCGCUGUGCCCACACGCCUGGCAGAGCUCUCAGCCUGCGGGACCCUCCUCCCGUCGGGCGCCUAGACCCUACAGCACCUGCUUCUGGCCAUAACUUUCUCUGGCCUCUUGUUCUUUUCUUACUUGCCUUUGUCCUGGUUUUUUAAUAUUUCAUAUGCUCUCUUUUUCCAGUAGAUUAUAUUUUGUCCAGUCCUCAGGCCAUACCUCUGUACAUAAGAAAAUUAAAUAAUGCUGACAGGUGCAACAGGUGUUGUUCUUGAGUCGGGUCCUGUGGGUUACCAUUCUUGUUCUGGCACCUGCCAGCGAGUCACCUCAAUUCCCUGAUUUGCGAGAGGGCAUAAUUAUGGGGUUAGCAUCAGGACUAAAUGAGACACUCACUAAUCAUAGGACUGACCUGCAGGUCAAGUGCAGUACCCCCUCCAGCAGGACAGAAGGUUUCGUAAAGGGCAGAUGGCAUGCCACGGGCAUUGUCAGUGUGAAGGGCUCCUGGUCAGCAGGUGUGGAUUGGAGUUGGGCUCAACCCUUGCCAGUGGGCCCCCCUGUAAGAGCCGCACAGCCUCUGUGAAGUCUGUUCAGAGGAAUACAGCGUAUUUCGUAGGAUUUGGGGGACUGCAUCGGAGAAGAUCCGCAAAGCAUUUAGCAAAGUGCCAGGAGUGCCAAGUGCCCGGUGCCAGCAUCCUCUUCCGUCCUUCCUUCUCCGCAGCAGGAUCGGGGUUCGUGCCUGGACCCCAGCGCCUGCGCCCCAAGUCUCACUCCGCAGACACCAGAGACUCUGCAGAGAGUGGUCAGCGCCUUGACGUGAGUGGGUCCUGGGUCCAAGGACCGCCAGCUCACCCUCCUGCACAGUGAGGGCGGGAAAGGACAUAUCCGCACAGGGGAGGCUCCGGCUGGCCAAGCGGGUCCUCAGCGGGGGCUGCUCAGAUCCUGGCCCUGGAGCCAGCCAGCUCCCAGACCCCUGGGGGCAAGGCCGGGCCCAGGCGGAUCUCGGGACUCCAGCCCAACAGGCUGGGGGUGAAGGCCAAAUGCCAGCCCUGGGCCGGAGCCAGAGUGCUGGGCGAGAAAAGCAGAGCUGAGGCCCGAGCUUCCCGAGACCAGGUCGGGGGUGGGGGUGCAGGUCCUGCGGGGAAGGGAAGUGCAGGAAGGCGGGGGGUUCCAGGCCUGGGCGCGGGGUGCAGGCCCUCCAGGGGAGGCAGUGCCUGGGUUAAACUCUUCUCUUUGAUGGUAUUGGACAGGCAGGUAGCUAACAGCUUGGUGAAGUGUUAAGAAUAAGAGCAAGGGCUUCUUCACAGUCAUUUAAAAGAACUAUUUACUCUCAAAAAACAGACUUACAUAAACUUCCAGGAGAAAGCCCAGAACACCGGGAUUUGGAGGUAAUUAUUUAUGACCUGUAUCUUUAAAAAGUAUUAAUCUGUCAAAAAAAUCAAAAUGUGUCUACUGACACUUUAAAAACAUGUGUCAAAAUUGCUGUUUUUAAGCCAUCUCGUGUUUCAGUUCUGAUUCUGUUUUGGAAAAGGAUGUUUAAGGAGCCACCACAGUGGCGGCUUUGGCGGAGACACACGUGGACACAGAUCCCACAAGUACGUGAGAUCACACAGGGUUUGUCUUUCUCUGACUUCUGCCCUCAAGGUCCACUGCAGAGCUGGUCCUGAGCAGAGUGACGAGGGGGCAGCCCGGUUUCACCUGGCUGGAGAGAGGGGACUCCCAGGAAUUGACCCUGAGCCUGGGGACCACUGCACCACGCGUCCCUUUCCUCUGCUGGAACCAUAAGGCAGCGCCGAGCAGAACAACGACUGGUCCAGAGGACGGGAAGUGACCAGAGCUGGCGACACGGACACAGCCCAGCCAUGCUUGCCUGCAGGGUUGACCUUGAGUGAUGUUCCGCUUUCUUCCUCGUUCUCUUCUGUUUUUCCGUAGUAAAUGCAUGUGCUUCCUCUUCAGGGGAAGGAAAUACUGCAAAAAAAAAGAAGCAUCUCAGAUGUGGGAUCUUUAAGACGUGUGUUCUGCCUGUUGAGCAGGUGCUUGGGGUUUGCUGGACCGAUGAAGUGUGGUCAGUUUCUGCAAGGGUCUGGACUUGUUUCCCGCAGCCCUGGCAGUGGCCGUGUGGUGGCUGAGCAGACAGAACCAACGCCCGUGGGUGUUUGGCCAGCUGGCCCUGGCCUCCCACUAGGCCGUCAAAGACGCCUUCUGGAACUGGCGGCCACCUUGGCCCACUCGUUAUCCAGCAGGAUAAUAAAUGCAGACAGCAGAGCAAGUAAGGCUUCCUGAGGUCCCACCUGGGGGCCCUGUCCAAGGGACUCUGUCCUGGGGGGUCUGUCACGCUCACUGCCCCCCCCCCACAGGCAUCUCUGGUUGAUACUCAGCUGCUGCCCCUGCUUCCUGGAGCAGGAGGGCUUGGGGAAGGGGACCCCGAGCCCCUUGUCCCGAGCGCCCCAGUGCAGGGAGGGCAGCAGGCAGCGGAGGACGGGGCAGGAGGCAAGAGGACGGCCACCUGGGCCCUGAGGAGGGACCCAGGCCGGGGAGCCUGGUGGCGGAAUUGGGGAGCCCAGCCAGCCACCCCAGGAGUGCAGGCUGAGUCCUCUGGUGCCCUCUCUUAAACAACUGGAAGAAGCAGGUAAGUCCCUCAAUGCAUUCUUGUGACCCAAGAGACUAAGACGUCUUAGCCUGUGAUCAGCCCACCGGACUGAUGCGGUCUCCUGCCCUUUACACUAAUCCUCCACCCCAGGUGCCUUUCCACACUCGGCUCCCCGGCGCCCAGUCACCACCGCCCAGUGCCGCAGGCCCCUGGGGCACAAGGAGCAGGGCGCGUACUGUGUGGUUGAUGUGGGUGGUGUGUGGGGGUCAGGGGAGAUCCUGCAGGGGGGUCCAGGCCCAGCCUCUGCCCUCACUGUGAGCACUACACGCCCACGGCAUCUGCUGGGGCCCGGGGGCCAGGACUAAAGUUCCUGGAGCCCUGGCACCCCUGACCCCUGCGGAGCCUCCUCUUCUGGGGACCUUGUGCUGCACCUGCAACUUCCUUGUUCAGUUCAUCAUUUCUCCUGCUCUUGGACUGAGGUGUGUGUCUAACCCCAUGACACACACAUCCACCCUCUCCUGUUUUUAGACUAGACUGUUAGCAGGCCUCAGCCGUGGACGUGGACGUGCGACGUCCGGUGCAGAGGGUCCUCGUCCUGGGCGUAAAAGGGCGUGGGCGGCGGGGUGAGCCGGCCCUGGGAGCCCUGUGCUUCCGGGGACUGGCUGCCGGCUGGCUCUGCACCGAGUCAACAAGCAGGACAAGUCCGGGGCCCGGAGAGGCCUCCACCCAUCACCCCAGGAAAGGCCCAGUGCCGCCCCGUCCUGGAGCCGCGGCCUGGAUGUUGGCACCAGGUGUCCCCUCUGACUGCUCUGCUGGUGGCGAGGAGAUCAGAACACGGGUUGGGGAGGCACAGAACUGCCCGCAGGGCGCGGGGCCCGCGCCGCCACGGGCUGGGGGAGGGGCCGGCGGAAGGGAAGCCCCGCCCCCGCGUCCCGGGAGCCGGCGGUUCCGAGUCCGAGUCGGGAGCCGGCCGGGAGCCUCCGGGACGAGCGCCGCGGAGGGGCGGGCUCCCCAGGCGCAGGCUCGCUGGAGAGCCUCCGCCCGGCUCGGUGCCGCGCGGCCCCAGCGGCCGGAGCUGCGAGGCCGGGGUCGGGGCCGGGGAGAUGCGUCCGCCGACCCUGCGGCCUCCGCGGGGGCCUCCCAGCGCCCCCCCCCCCCCGGCCUCCAGAGCUCAGAUCGGACUAGGAAGCAGGGUUUGUCCGCAGCGGCAAAUGCAACGGGGCAGUUUCCACGGCUCACGUUGGUGUUUUCAGCCUGGCGCUGGCCUCUCAGUGACAGCAGCACAGCCAGACCUGCGGAGGAUUUCGGGGGGCUCCCUGACCGCGCCGCAGCCUACUCCGGGGGCCCAGCUUCUGCUGCCGAAACGCUCCCCGCGGAGGGCUUGGCCUCAUUCCGCCGAGUCUCCGCGGGACUCCCAGUGAGAAAAGAAAUGCUCCUCAGUGCCUCUUCCCUCUUGUGAAACGCUUCCUUCUGCUCAGGGGACACGUGUGACCUGUGCACGUGGGGGGCUUUUGUGCACUUGUGCCCACGGCACUGCGAUGGGUCCUUAGUGUGAUUGUCUCUGCAGGGCCAGAGUCAGGCCGCUGCUGCUCUUCAGUGAGAUCAGUGCUGCCCGGCAGGGGCCGCUAGCAAUGUUCUGACAAGUCCUGCAGACUCUGCCAAGACAGCAGGAGCCCAGGCCUCACGGAUCUCCAGGUGGAAAUCUGAAGCUGUGGGUAGAGGGGGUCCUGCUGUGGUGGGGGGGGAGCCACCUGCUCCUGGGGCACCCACAGCCCAGCCCCCCCAAAGGAAGAGGCUCUGAGAAGGCCCUUCUGCCUCCUGCCUUCCUUCCUCCUUCCACCUGGCUGCCCCCAUGCCUGGCCGUAGGCGCAGGGCCAGGGGCUGGCACACCACACCCACCAAUAGGCUUGGCAUGCAAUGCAGAUUCCUUACCUAAAACAAACCAACACUCACACCUUUAUAUCCAAUCCGACUACCUUUUUCCAUAUUGUCUUGUUGGCAAUUGUGUCUUUUUUUUUUUUGGUCUAUUAAAACCAUCAUUUUUUCCUCACCCUCUAAGCUAAAUCAUUAUUUCAGUUCCUAACCUUUGCAAAUACUCUGCUUCCUGUACAAUAGGGAUCAUUGUGUGUCCUCAGCAGCAGCCUGGCAGAAACACGGAACCACACGCCUGUGUCAGCUUAGUGACUCAGCAAACGGAGAGGCUCUGCUUCCACCGGGGCCCCUCCAGCCGGCCCAUGGGUUGGGUGGUGCUUCCUGGCCCUGCGGCUGUACCCUGACCCUGUUGGGUGCCAUGGCCGCUGGUAGGGGUGGGCGGCCCGCUCUGACCUCAGACCCCAUCCAGAAGCGCCUGCUGCCAUGCAGCAUGGGAAGCCCCCCGCCCCUCGCCCUGUACUUGGUUAGAGAAAGAUCUGGAAGAUACGCAACUGGAAAACAAGGUGUCGCUGGUGGUGAGGAGUUGCUGGCAGGCGAGUACCAUGCCCAAGGCGGGGAGGAAGAGCGUCUAGACUGAAAGUAAACGCACUACCUAAAAGGCGAGAAUGAGUCGUAGCUGAUGGACAAAACUGAGGCCAAGCCCAGGACACAGCCUCUCAGGGGCCCUUAGGGAGGCUCCAAAGAGGUCAGAGAGGAGCCGGAUCCACAGGAGUUUUUGCAACAAAAACCAUGUAGUCGGAACAUCAAAAGAUUAGUUAGAGAAAACCAGGCAUUUCAAGUGAAGGAGUGCAGCGCUUUUUUGUGUGGGGGGAGCUGUGGGUCUGGCUCCCGAAGUCAUUCCUGGACGUGACCCCUCGCCCCCCAGGGCCAGGGUCCUGUGCCUUCCCUGCCUGAGUCCCUGGGAGUGCUGUGGGGACACUGUGGUGGCUUGAUGGCUGCAGCAUCCUUUGUUGACUCACAUGACAGGCGACACUCCUCACUCACAGUGUCGUAAUGACUGGACCUGACAGGCAGUGUGAGCAGGGCUUCCUCCGCCAGCCCCAGAGACUGGUGCGGGAAAGCACGUGGCCGCUGCGGGACCUGCGACGGGAGCCAUCAGAACCCAGUGACUGAGGGCUGUGCCCACGCCUGCAGAGCAUCCUGUGGGCCGGGACCCAGGCACACACUAUAAUGAGAAGAGGAAACUGAUGCUCAGAAAGGCUGAGUCAUUUACCCGGGGCCACACAGCCGAAGGACACUGAAUUCAGAUGCAGGUGGCCAGGCUGUUAUACCCGCUCCAGUGCCCCCGGCCCGGCCCCGGCUGUGCUGCGGCAGCACUGAGGGAAGAGACGCUGGAAACCAGCACUAGCCUCCUUGGUCCUGGUCCCUGGAUAUACUCAGAACUCGUUCUCUCGUGGCUUUUCUACCUGGUCCUGCCUCUUUACAGCGGGACCCACAUUUCUCGACUAGUCUGUCUUGAACAGUCCUCGUUAACCCAUCCGGCUGCGUUUCCUGACCACGGGGCUGCCAGGUACACCGCUGGCACCAGGACGUCCAGCUGGCCUGGCUCACGGUGUGGUCCCGUUUGCAAGAGGAGGAGGUGAGGAUGUGGCCCCAAAUGGUGGGGCCAUCAGCUAAGACUCUUUCUCGCCUUUUAGCCCCUGCCCUGGGGCUGCCGUCACUUGCCUCCCUCAGUCCUGGCACAGAGGGGAGGGCCACUGUCACCACCAGCAGCAUGACGCUCCCAGACCAUUAAGACGCUGUCGCGGCUGGGCUGGCCCCCAGCUGGCCGCCUGCCUCCCCAGCAGAAGCUGACUCGGCUUCUUCACAGGGCAGGGUUCUGCCCCCCACCCGGGACGAUGGGACCCCAUUUCCUCGUUCUGCAGAGGCCCUCGGCCCUGCCCGUCUCCCGGCUGUCUCUCCAGCCCCCGCCUCUCAUUCAAUUCCAGUCGCCACCUGGGUGCCCGGGGCCAGAUCUGCCUCCAGAACCGAAGGCCUCCAUCCUAAGCCUCGUGCCUGAACAGCUCCCAGGGCUUGUAUGAAUCUUGUUGAUUUAUCCCUAAAAUAUCUCAGUGUUUGGUGCUAAUUAAAUGGUCCUGUGUCUUUAAUCCUAACACUGGGUUUUAGGUUGGUUGCUUGGUUGUUCGGCCCUACCAGUGACACACAGAAGUUCCCAGGUCAGGGAUCAAAGCCCUGCCACAGCCGCGAAACCAGAGCCACAGCAGAGACGACACGGAUCCUUGAAUCCUGAGCCAACCGUUGUUUAAUCUGUACCUCUUCUCACUGUUCUGUUCAUUCUUGCCCCCGGUUUGACGUUUUGGUCUUUUCACUGCCCACUUGUGUUUUGUCUUCUAAGUCAUUCAUUUCUCCUUCUUCAUUUUAUUUGUUCUUUUACUUUAUUUUGCUGUUAUUUUAAAAUUUGUUACAGUGGAUGCUUAGCUCAUCGAUUUCAGUCUUUCAUGUAGAAUUUUUAUCAUUUAGUUAAGAGAUUUUCCUAGUUUUCACAGUAAUUUCUUCUUUGAUCCAUAAUGUAUUUGGAAACGAGUUCUUAUAAUUUCCUAGCACUUGAAUAUUUCGAGUAUUUUGUUAUCAUUUCUAGUUAAUUUUCCUGUGCUCCAAUAAUCCGAUUUAUGAUAGAGAUGGGUGGGGGUGUGAUUUCACAUGCUCGAGCUGCCCGAGUGUUUCCUGUGUGCUGGAAAGGAGCACGUUCUCCGGAUCCUGGGCGCGGUGACACGCGUGUCGCAGUGACACGCGUGCCUCCCCUGAGUGGAUUUGUUGUUGGUUCCAGUUGUCUGUCUGUGUCCUGUGUUCCCACGUGUGCUUUUUAUCUGCCGCUUAGUGGGGGAUGAAUUUCUCUUUGGACUUCUGCCAGUUCUGCAUUCUGUAUUUCCAGUUAUGCCACCGGUUCAUAUUCUGAAAUGACCUUCUUUGUGAAUUGAACAUUGUAAUUAUUGAUAUGUUUGCAUUUAAAUCUACAGUAUUGCUUGUGACUU